rnacentral:rRNA from 1 species
AUGCCUAAGUACAUGGGUGGCUUGGGCUUCCGUGACACACAUCUUUUUCAUCUUGCAAUGGUGGCCAAACAAGCGUGGCGUUUGAUACAAGAUAUUGAAUCUCUAGGUGCGCGCUUGUUGAAGGUCGUUUACUACCCUUCCUGUGAAGUUUUAGAUGCAAAGCUCGGGAAUCAUCCAUCUCAAAUAUGGCGAGCCAUUAUUCAGGGAAAGGAGGUCCUCAAGCAAGGCCUAGUUAGAAGAAUAGGAGACGGGAGAACCACGAGCAUUUGGAAUGAUAAUUGGAUCCCAAGGGACUUCAUGCUGCGUACUGUACAUCCUCGGUCCACUAAUCCACCUGAGUUGGUAGCAGACCUCAUCGAAAACAUGGAGAGGUGCUGGAACAGAGGAAAAGUUCUCGAACACUUACAACCUAUUGAUGCCCGGGAGAUACUUGGCAUACCAUUAUCGACCAUCCCUACAGAUGAUUGCUGGGCAUGGCAGUAUGAACGCCAUGGCCAUUUCUCUGUAAGGUCAUGCUACCGAAUGCUUAAGGCCUUGUUCGGUUGCACAGGGUUUGAGGGGGAUUAA